CCUACGGGUGACAGCAGUGGGGAAUAUUGCACAAUGGGGGAAACCCUGAUGCAGCGACGCCGCGUGAGUGAAGAAGUAAUUCGUUAUGUAAAGCUCUAUCAGCAGGGAAGAAAAUGACGGUACCUGAGUAAGAAGCCCCGGCUAACUACGUGCCAGCAGCCGCGGUAAUACGUAGGGGGCAAGCGUUAUCCGGAUUUACUGGGUGUAAAGGGAGCGUAGACGGCAGUGCAAGUCUGGAGUGAAAGGCGGGGGCUCAACCCCCGGACUGCUCUGGAAACUGUACGGCUGGAGUGCGGGGAAGGAAAGGGGAAUUCGUGGUGUAGCGGUGAAAUGGGUAGAUAUUAGGAGGAACACCAGUGGCGAAGGCGGCCUGCGGGAGAGUAACUGACGUUGAGGCGCGAAAGCGUGGGGAGCAAACAGGAUUAGAUACCCCGGUAGUC
rnacentral:rRNA from 1 species